AACGAACGCUGGCGGCAGGCCUAACACAUGCAAGUCGAGCGAAGCCUUCGGGCUUAGCGGCGGACGGGUGAGUAACGCGUGGGAACGUGCCCUUUGGUACGGAAUAGCCCCGGGAAACUGGGGGUAAUAGCGCAUGUGGUCGAGAGACGAAAGAUUUAUCGCCAAAGGAUCGGCCCGCGUUGGAUUAGGUAGUUGGUGGGGUAAUGGCCUACCAAGCCGACGAUCCAUAGCUGGUUUGAGAGGAUGAUCAGCCACACUGGGACUGAGACACGGCCCAGACUCCUACGGGAGGCAGCAGUGGGGAAUCUUAGACAAUGGGGGAAACCCUGAUCUAGCCAUGCCGCGUGAUCGAUGAAGGCCUUAGGGUUGUAAAGAUCUUUCAGUGGGGAAGAUAAUGACUGUACCCACAGAAGAAGCCCCAGCUAACUCCGUGCCAGCAGCCGCCGUAACAC
rnacentral:rRNA from 1 species